UAUAAGACUGGGAUAACUUCGGGAAACCGGGGCUAAUGCCGGAUAACAUUUAGAACCGCAUGGUUCUAAAGUGAAAGAUGGUUUUGCUAUCACUUAUAGAUGGACCCGCGCCGUAUUAGCUAGUUGGUAAGGUAAUGGCUUACCAAGGCAACGAUACGUAGCCGACCUGAGAGGGUGAUCGGCCACACUGGAACUGAGACACGGUCCAGACUCCUACGGGAGGCAGCAGUAGGGAAUCUUCCGCAAUGGGCGAAAGCCUGACGGAGCAACGCCGCGUGAGUGAUGAAGGGUUUCGGCUCGUAAAACUCUGUUAUUAGGGAAGAACAAACGUGUAAGUAACUGUGCACGUCUUGACGGUACCUAAUCAGAAAGCCACGGCUAACUACGUGCCAGCAGCCGCGGUAAUACGUAGGUGGCAAGCGUUAUCCGGAAUUAUUGGGCGUAAAGCGCGCGUAGGCGGUUUCUUAAGUCUGAUGUGAAAGCCCACGGCUCAACCGUGGAGGGUCAUUGGAAACUGGGAGACUUGAGUGCAGAAGAGGAAAGUGGAAUUCCAUGUGUAGCGGUGAAAUGCGCAGAGAUAUGGAGGAACACCAGUGGCGAAGGCGACUUUCUGGUCUGUAACUGACGCUGAUGUGCGAAAGCGUGGGGAUCAAACAGGAUUAGAUACCCUGGUAGUCCACGCCGUAAACGAUGAGUGCUAAGUGUUAGGGGGUUUCCGCCCCUUAGUGCUGCAGCUAACGCAUUAAGCACUCCGCCUGGGGAGUACGACCGCAAGGUUGAAACUCAGAG
rnacentral:rRNA from 1 species